GUCGUCAUCGUAUAGUGGUCAGUAUCCCCGCCUGUCAAGCCAUAGCCCGCGGGAGGCCGGGGUUCGAUUCCCCGUGACGGCG
rnacentral:tRNA from 1 species